UACGAAGGGGGCGAGCGUUGUUCGGAUUUACUGGGCGUAAAGGGCGCGUAGGCGGCUUGGCAAGUGGAUGGUGAAAUCCCUCGGCUUAACCGAGGAACUGCCGUCCAAACUGCUUCGCUUGAGACCGGGGAGAGGUGAGUGGAAUUCCCAGUGUAGCGGUGAAAUGCGUAGAUAUUGGGAGGAACACCAGUGGCGAAGGCGGCUCACUGGACCGGUACUGACGCUGAUGCGCGAAAGCGUGGGGAGCAAACGGGG
rnacentral:rRNA from 1 species